GCCAUUCUCCUGCCUCAGCCUCCUGAGUAGCUGGGAUUACAGGCACCCACCAUCACACCUGGCUAAUUUUUUGUAUUUUUAGUAGAGAUGGGGUUUCACUGUGUUAGCCAGGAUGCUCUCGAUCUCCUGACCUCGUGAUCUGCCCUCCUUGGCCUCCCAAAGUGCUGGGAUUACAGGCGUGAGCCACCGCACCUGGCCCUCACCAAAUUCUUAAUAAUGGCUACCUCUAGAGAAUGAGAAACAAAAACAAAAACUGUAAUGUGUUCAUUGGUAGUAGCUCUUUACCUAAUUCCACCCUUUCAUACUGAUCAGCUUCUUCCUGGUUCAUCUCCAUUGUUAUCAGUAGUCAAGUCAGUCACCAACUUCUGGAGAUCCUUCAACUUGUAGGACAAUAUCCAAUAUUUACUGUUAAAUCCAUGUCCCUUUAAAACUUGCCCUCUAGCCAAUCUUCAUAAGCUCUUCUUGGGAGCUGCUUUCUCUGCCUCAGCCACAAUUUCUGUGCCCAUCUCCCUGGAACUUAAGCCAGUGAACUCACCAGGACUGUAUCACACCAUAUUCUUUCAAAACAGGCUCACCUCUGUGCCUGGAAAACAGCCCAUCUUUUUUUCUAUGUGUAUUAGUAGAAAAAAAGGUGAAAUGACUGUGAUCAUGAAUAAUCCCCACCUCUCAGUGGC
rnacentral:lncRNA from 1 species